AGAGACGCUACGAUGAUGUCAGGAAAACGAGGCGGGCUUUGAGUUUGACUUACAGACACUUUCACCAAUCGGAGCUCGUGAUUCUAGUUCUCGUUCUGCACGGUAACCAAUGGCAGCAAACCAGGAAGUGUAUUUGGAAGAACUUGAACAAGGAAUCAGCGAGGAUUACAGAGUCGCAAAAUUUGGAUUUCGUUGUGGUAUUAAUCCUGAAUUAUGUGUUCGUGUAACGUUACAUUAUUCAUGUAAGUUUAACUCUUUAUAAAAAUAUAUAAUUUUCACACGACGUCAACAUGAACAGAAAAACAAGGCAGAUAUGUUGGAACUUUUCCAAUGUCCUGUAAUAAACCUGUAUUGAGGCUACGGCCAGUGUGCGCAUGCGCACGACCCACAAUUCAUUUCUUCCUCGUGUCUCUUUUGGAAGAGUUCCUUAACGUGGUCUUUCUCGUCUCUCCGUUGGAAGGGUUAGAGGAGUGUCCGACUGAAGCACCUGGUUUGAAAAGAGCACAAAACCCCAGGAGGAGCGGAAAUGGGAAUUCUGAGCUGCAGAAAUGGAGCGCCUCUCAUGUUAAAAGUACUCGGACUGGACUCCCAGCCACCGGAUUGAGAUGUUCUGUGCUGAAACUGUGAAGGUUAGAGGAGUGUCCAACUGAAGCACCUGGUUUGAAAAGAGCACAAGACCUCAGCAGGAGCUGAAAGAACGCACGAGCUGAGAAAAUAAGAUGACGUGCCAUGUCAAGUGCCCGGGUGCUGCGGAUGUGUCCUGAAGUCCAGAUGAGCAGCAUGUGUGCGUUCAACACGGACACGUUUUUAUCUGCCCUUAUGUUUGAACUUUUCUUUGUGCUACUUGGUGUUGACUGUAACGUCGUCUUAGAAAUUUAUAAAGUUGCUUGUCAGAUCUUUUCUGUGAAGUAAAUAAAAAAUAAUAAAGGUGGAGAAAUAGUGUGUUCAAACUUUACAUCCGUUUGCCUCUUUCCUACUCUCUGUGCGCACUCUAUUUUCAUACGGCCGAAUUCCCAAUAAAGCUGUUCUCAUUUACACAGUUUUCUGUUCGAGUGACAGGGUUGUAUUUGUGUUCUGUUAAAAAUGAACACUGAAGUUAUUUAGCAAUGUUCUAUUUAAUGACUUUUUAUAAUUCAAACAUUUUUUAAGCACUACUAGAUAGAAAAUGGCUAUUUUCAAGGUUCUCCAGGUUCUUGACAUUUCAAAAAGCCAAAUUCAAGUGCUUGAAACACUUUGUAUGAACCCUGUAUACAUAGACAGAAGUAGCACAG
ensembl:lncRNA